rnacentral:tRNA from 1 species
GGUCAGAUAGCCAAGUGGUUAAGGCAGCACACCCAGAAUUGUGUCUCAGCUAACACUGAGCUCACCUGGUUUGAAUCCAGCUCCGAUCA